CCUACGGGGAGCAGCAGUGGGGAAUAUUGCGCAAUGGGCGAAAGCCUGACGCAGCGACGCCGCGUGCGGGAUGAAGGUCUUCGGAUCGUAAACCUCUGUCAGCAGGGAAGAACGGUCACUGUGCUAAUCAGCAGUGAAUUGACGGUACCUGCAAAGGAAGCACCGGCUAACUCCGUGCCAGCAGCCGCGGUAAUACGGAGGGUGCGAGCGUUAAUCGGAAUUACUGGGCGUAAAGCGCUCGUAGGCGGUAUGUCAAGUCAAGGGUGAAAUCCCCGCGCGAAACGUGGGAACUGCCUUUGAAACGGGCAAACUGGAGUGUGUGAGAGGAUAGUGGAACUCCAGGUGUAGGAGUGAAAGCCGUAGAUAUCUGGAGGAACAUCAGUGGCGAAGGCGACUAUCUGGCACAUAACUGACGCUGAGGAGCGAAAGCGUGGGUAGCAAACAGGAUUAGAUACCCUUGUAGUC
rnacentral:rRNA from 1 species